GGACAGAAAGACCCUAUGAAGCUUUACUGUAGCCUGGCAUUGGGUUCGGGCUUUAACUGCGCAGUAUAGGUGGGAGACUAUGAGACUUUCCUUGUGGGGAAAGUGGAGUCACCAGUGAGAUACCACUCUGUUAAAGCUAGAAUUCUAACCUGCAUCCGUUAUCCGGAGCGGGAACAUUGUCAGGUGGGCAGUUUGACUGGGGCGGUCGCCUCCCAAAUGGUAACGGAGGCGCGCAAAGGUUCUCUCAGGCUGGUUGGAAAUCAGCCGUCGAGUGUAAAGGUAUAAGAGAGCUUGACUGUGAGACGUACAUGUCGAACAGGGACGAAAGUCGGCCUUAGUGAUCCGACGGUUCCGCGUGGAAGGGCCGUCGCUCAACGGAUAAAAGUUACUCUAGGGAUAACAGGCUGA
rnacentral:rRNA from 1 species